CCUACGGGCGGCAGCAGUGAGGAAUAUUGGUCAAUGGACGAGAGUCUGAACCAGCCAAGUAGCGUGAAGGAUGACUGCCCUAUGGGUUGUAAACUUCUUUUAUAUGGGAAUAAAAUGUUCCACGUGUGGGAUUUUGUAUGUACCAUAUGAAUAAGGAUCGGCUAACUCCGUGCCAGCAGCCGCGGUAAUACGGAGGAUCCGAGCGUUAUCCGGAUUUAUUGGGUUUAAAGGGAGCGUAGGUGGAUUGUUAAGUCAGUUGUGAAAGUUUGCGGCUCAACCGUAAAAUUGCAGUUGAAACUGGCAGUCUUGAGUACAGUAGAGGUGGGCGGAAUUCGAGGUGUAGCGGUGAAAUGCUUAGAUAUCACGAAGAACUCCGAUUGCGAAGGCAGUUCACUGGACUGCAACUGACACUGAGGCUCGAAAGUGUGGGUAUCAAACAGGAUUAGAUACCCGGGUAGUC
rnacentral:rRNA from 1 species